CAGGCAGCUUGUAGGUCCCCAGGAAGACUGAGAGCCCUGCU
rnacentral:precursor_RNA from 1 species